CCUACGGGAGGCAGCAGUGAGGAAUAUUGGUCAAUGGGCUUACGCCUGAACCAGCCAAGUCGCGUGAGGGACGACUGCCCCAUGGGUUGUAAACCUCUUUUGUCAGGGAGCAAUUGGCGCUACGUGUACCGUUACCGAGAGUACCUGAAGAAAAAGCAUCGGCUAACUCCGUGCCAGCAGCCGCGGUAAUACGGAGGAUGCGAGCGUUAGCCGGAUUUAUGGGGUUAAAAGGUUGCGUAGGCGGAAUGCCAAGUCAGCGGUAAAAUCGCGGGGCUCAACCUCGCUGAGCCGUUGAAACUGGCGUUCUUGAGAGGGCGAGAAGUAUGCGGAAGGCGUGGUGUAGCGGUGAAAUGCAUAGAUAUCACGCAGAACUCCGAUUGCGAAGGCAGCAUACCGGCGCCCAUCUGACGCUGAAGCACGAAAGCGUGGGUAUCGAACAGGAUUAGAUACCCGUGUAGUC
rnacentral:rRNA from 1 species